rnacentral:rRNA from 1 species
AUCGUCGCUGGUGCCCAGGCUUAAACCACUUGCAAGUCGAGUCGCUGUGUAGCCAUACCAGCGAGUGGCGCACGGGUGAGAACCGCGUGGAUAUCUGCCUUUUGGUCGGGAAUAACCCCGGGAAACUGAGGGCUAAUACCGGAUGGUUUCCUUCCGGGGUAAAGAUUUAUCGCCAAAAAGAUGAGUUCCGCGUACGAUUAGCUAGUUGGUGAGGUAAUGGCUCACCCAAGGCGACGGAUCGUUAGCUGGUCUGAGGAGGAUGAUCAGCCACAUUGGGACUGAGACACGGGUCCAAACUCCUACGGGAGGCAGGCAGUGGGGAAUAUUGGCAAUGGGCGAAAGCCUGAUCCAGCCAUGCCGCGUGAGUGAUGAAGGCCCUAGGGUUGUAAAGCUCUUUUGUGCGGGAAGAUAAUGACGGUACCGCAAGAAUAAGCCCCGGCUAACUUCGUGCCAGCAGCCGCGGUAAGACAGAGGUGGCGAGCGUUGUUCGGAAUUACUGGGCUUAAAGGGCGCGUAGGCGGUGGUGUAAGUCUGGGGUGGAACGCUACAGCUUAACUGUAGAGCUGCCCCUGGAAACUGCAUUACUUGAGUCGGUGAGGGGAAGGUGGAAUUGCCAGGUGUUAGCGGUGAAAUGCGUAGAUAUCUGGAGGAAGGUCUUGUGGCGAAGGCCGACCUUCUGGCACUUCGACUGACGGCUUGAGGCGCGAAAGCGUGGGGAGUCAAACAGGAUUAGAUACCCUGGUAGUCCACGCCCUUAAACGGUGGGUAUUAGUGUGGGGGUCCUUCAUGGGUUCCGUGCCCGAAGCGAAAGCAUUAAAUACCCCGCCACGGGGAGUACGGUCCGCAAGGUUGACAUUUAAUUGCAUUUCA